rnacentral:rRNA from 1 species
UUCCGGUUGAUCCUGCCGGAGGUCACUGCUAUUGGGGUUCGGCUAAGCCAUGCAAGCGGAGGGUGCGGUCGAAAGAUCGUGGCCCCGCACACGGCUCAGUAACACGUAGUCAACCUACCCUUGGGACGGGGACAACCUCGGGAAACUGAGGCUAAUACCCGAUAGGCGAGGGACGCUGGGAUGCCUCCUCGCCCAAAGCUCUGGCGCCCAAGGAUGGGACUGUGGCCUAUCAGGCUGUUGGUGGUGUAACGGACCACCAAACCUACGACGGGUACGGGCGAUGGGAGUCGGAGCCCGGAGAUGGGGACUGAGACAAGGCCCCAGGCCCUACGGGGCGCAGCAGGCGCGAAAACUCCGCAAUGCGCGCAAGCGUGACGGGGGGACCCCAAGUGCCGUUGGUCUUUCGAUCGACGGUUUUUAGGAAGUCUAAGAAGCUUCCGGAAUAAGGGCUGGGCAAGACUGGUGCCAGCCGCCGCGGUAACACCAGCAGCCCGAGUGGUGGCCACGAUUAUUGGGCCUAAAGCGCUCGUAGCCGGAUCAUCAAGUCCCUUGUGAAAUCGGGCCGCCCAACGGUUCGGCGUGCAAGGGAUACUGUUGGUCUUGAGGCCGGGAGAGGUCGGAGGUACUCCUGGGGUAGCGGUGAAAUGCUCUAAUCCUAGGGGGACCACCAGUGGCGAAGGCGUCCGACCAGAACGGACCUGACGGUGAGGGGCGAAGGCUAGGGGAGCGAACGGGAUUAGAUACCCCGGUAGUCCUAGCUGUAAAGCAUGCGGGCUAGGUGUCUAGCGCUCCUCUAGGGCGCUAGGUGCCGGAGGGAAGCCGUUAAGCCCGCCGCCUGGGAAGUACGGCCGCAAGG